GGGCGCGCCUGCUGCGCGGGGCGGGACGCGGACUCCCAGGCUCUGCGGAGAGCGGCUGCCACUCGCCUCUGUUUUUUUCUUGAGACCUAGUCUGGCUCUGUGGCUCAGGCUGGAGUGCAGUGGCGUGAUCACCGCUCACUGCAGCCUCAGCCUCCUCUCGCCUCAGCCGCUCGGUAGCUGGGACCACCAGCGGGCGCCACCACUCCCGGCUACAUUUUUUUGUAUUUUUAGUAGAGACGUGGGUCUCGCCAUGUUGGCUAGGCUGCUGCCGAACUCCGGGGCUCAAGCGAUCCGCCCGCCUGGGCCUCCCAAAGUGCUGAGACUGCAGGCAUGAGCCACCGCGCCCGGCCGAGAGCCUCUUUUGGCUCCUCCUUUCGCCUUUCCGGGGCCAGGCGUGUGCAGCUCUGUGAAGGGUCCCCUCCCUCUGCGGGACGUCCUCGCUGCCGAGGUCAGAGGUGCGGAGAACAUGAGACCCGAGGUCUCAACUGCUUCUUACCAAUAUUAAUUCCAGUGACUACUAUCAGAAUAUGAUGAGCAAUCCACUCAUCAGAGAAGCUGUUUCUACACUCUCCUGAAUGACCAUUUUAUAGAUGCUGGGAAAAAAUUGUAUUAAAGACUAUGAGUUAGCUGGGCUUGGUGGCUCACGCCUGUAAUCCCAGCACUUUGUGAAGCCAAGGCGGGAGCAUCGAUUGAGCCUAGCAGUUCAAGACCAACCUUGGCGGCAUAAGCGAGACCCUGUCUCUACAAAAAUUUUAAAAUUAGCCAGGUGUGGUGGUGUGCACCUAUAAUCUUAGCUACUUGGGAAGCUGAGGUGGGAGGAUUACUCAGCCUAGGAGGUUGAGGUUACAGUGAGCUGGGAUCACACCACUGCCCUUCAGCCUGGGUGACAGAGCAGGACCCCGUCUCUUAAAAAAAAAAAAAAAAGUGGUGGACUUUGUUAUCCUUAUGCAUAUGACUCAUCAAUAUAUCUGUAUUUCCAUAUAGAAAGAACACUUAGACCGGGCACAGUGACUCACGCCUGUAAUCCCAGCACUUUGGGAGGCCAAGGCUGGCGGAUCACUUGAGGCCAGGAGUUCCAGACCAGCCUGGCUAACAUGGCAAAACCCUGUCUCUACUAAAAAAUACAAAAAUUAGCCUGGUAUGGUGGCACACGCCUGUAAUCCCUGCUACUCCGGAGGCUGAGGAAUGAGAAUAGUUUGAACCUGGGAGGUGGAGGUGGCAGUGAAUCAAGAUUGCUUCACUGCACUCCAGCCUGGGCGACAGAGUGAGACUCCAUUUCAAGAAAUAGAUAACUAAAUAAAUAAAAUAAAAGAGAACACUUAGAAAGGAACAUGCUAUAGCAAACUAAAAUUAUAGAUGUCAAAAAUUUAAUCUGGAUUACCCAGCAUCUCCUAUAAGAAACAAAGGGGCCCUCUCCCUCUCCCUCUCCCUCUCCCUCUCCCUCUCCCUCCCCCUCCCUCUCCCUCUCCCUCUCCCUCUCCCUCUGAUGCCGAGCCAAGGCUGGACGGUACUGCUGCCAUCUCGGCUCACUGCAACCUCCCUGCCUGAUUCUCCUGCCUCAGCCUGCCGAGUGCCUGCGAUUGCAGGCGCGCACCGCCACGCCUGACUGGUUUUCGUUUUUUUUUGGUGGAGACGGGGUUUCGCUGUGUUGGCCGGGCUGGUCUCCAGCUCCUAGCCGCGAGUGAUCCGCCAGCCUCGGCCUCCCGAGGUGCCGGGAUUGCAGAUGGAGUCUCGUUCACUCAGUGCUCAAUGGUGCCCAGGCUGGAGUGCAGUGGCGUGAUCUCGGCUCGCUGCAACCACCUCCCAGCCGCCUGCCUUGGCCUCCCGGAGAGCCGAGAUUGCAGCCUCUGCCCGGCCGCCACCCCGUCUGGGAAGUGAGGAGCGUCUCUGCUUGGCCACCCAUCGUCUGGGAUGUGAGGAGCCCCUCUGCCUGGCUGCCCAGUCUGGCAUCCAGGCAGACUGGAUUAGGCAGUGGUUAAGAGUCAUCACCACUCCCUAAUCUUAAGUACCCAGGGACACAAACACUGCGGAAGGCCAAGGCCGCAGGGUCCUCUGCCUAGGAAAACCAGAGACCUUUGUUCACUUGUUUAUCUGCUGACCUUCCCUCCACUAUUGUCCUAUGACCCUGCCAAAUCCCCCUCUGCGAGAAACACCCAAGAAUGAUCAAUAAAAAAAAAAUAA
rnacentral:lncRNA from 1 species